CACGUAGGGGGCGAGCGUUUGUCCGGAUUUAUUGGGCGUAAAGAGCUCGUAGGUGGCUUAGUAAGUCGGGUGUGAAACCUCCAGGCUUAACCUGGAGACGCCAUCCGAUACUGCUAUAGCUUGAGUCCGGUAGGGGAGCGUGGAAUUCCUGGUGUAGCGGUGAAAUGCGCAGAUAUCAGGAGGAACACCAACGGCGAAAGCACUCUGCUGGGCCGACACUGACACUGAGAGACGAAAGCUAGGGGAGCAAAUGGG
rnacentral:rRNA from 1 species